rnacentral:rRNA from 1 species
AUUGAACGCUGGCGGCAGGCCUAACACAUGCAAGUCGAGCGGAUGAAGGGAGCUUGCUCUUGGAUUCAGCGGCGGACGGGUGAGUAAUGCCUAGGAAUCUGCCCGGUAGUGGGGGAUAACGUCCGGAAACGGGCGCUAAUACCGCAUACGUCCUGAGGGUGAAAGUGGGGGAUCGUCGGACCUCACGCUAUCAGAUGAGCCUAGGUCGGAUUAGCUAGUUGGUGGGGUAAAGGCCUACCAAGGCGACGAUCCGUAACUGGUCUGAGAGGAUGAUCAGCCAACCUUGGACUGGGAACCGGGCCAGACCCCCAAGGGGAGGCACAAGUGGGAAUUUUUGGACAUGGGGCGAAAGCCUGACCAAGCCAGGCGGGGUGGGUGAGAAAGGUCUUCGGAUGGUAAAGCACUUUAAGUUGGAAGAAAGGGCAGUAAGUUAAUACCUUGCUGUUUGAAGGUAACCAACAGAAUAGGCACGGGUUACUUUCGU